rnacentral:RNase_P_RNA from 1 species
CGAGGAAAGUCCGGGCUUCACAGAGCGAUAAUAACGGCUAACGGCCGCCGGGGGCGACCCCAGGGAUAGUGCAACAGAAAAUAACCGCCGGGGUGACCCGAAAGCAUUUCGGGAAGGCAGGUUCUGCUUGGAAAGGCGAUUUCAGCCCGACCGAAAAGAACGUGCUGAUUUCACCCCGGUAAGGAUGGAAAGGUGAGGUAAGAGCUCACCGGAGGGCAGGAGACUGCUCUGCCGUGUAAACCCUAUUUGAAGCAACACCGUGGUAGGACAUUAUACGCUUGCUCGGCGUGUCCUUAGGAGGUGGCAUUGAGCAGAUUCGGCAACGGUCUGCCAAGAUAGAUGGCUGUUCACGACAAAACCCGGCUUAUAGAUAC